rnacentral:rRNA from 1 species
ACUCCUACGGGAGGCAGCAGUGGGGAAUAUUGCACAAUGGGCGAAAGCCUGAUGCAGCGACGCCGCGUGGAGGAUGAAGGCCUUCGGGUCGUAAACUCCUGUCUGGGGGGAUGAACACUGACAGUACCCCCGGAGGAAGCCCCGGCUAACUACGUGCCAGCAGCCGCGGUAAU